rnacentral:rRNA from 1 species
UACGUAGGGUGCGAGCGUUAAUCGGAAUUACUGGGCGGAAAGGGUGCGCAGGCGGCGUCGCAAGUCAGGCGUGAAAUCCCCGGGCUUAACCUGGGAACUGCACUUGAAACUACGAUGCUGGAGUAUGGCAGAGGGAGGUGGAAUUCCACGUGUAGCGGUGAAAUGCGUAGAGAUGUGGAGGAACACCGAUGGCGAAGGCAGCCUCCUGGGCCAAUACUGACGCUCAUGCACGAAAGCGUGGGGAGCAAACAGG